rnacentral:lncRNA from 1 species
GCGUCAGGGCCACGUGGCAGCAGGUGGCUGCGAGAGAGGGUGUGGCUCCAGGACCGGCCCACGCCACGAACAUCACUGCCCUGGGGCUUGAGGGUUGGACAGCAGGUGCGGGGCCCGGCCGUGGCGCAGGAUCUCGGGGCCUCACCUGACUUGAUGACCUUGAUUGCCACGGGCAGGGAGCCCAGCCACAGGCCUUCCCACACCUCCCCAAAGUAGCCUUCACCCAGCUUCCUCCCAAGGGCGAAUUCGGAGUGUGGCCGCUCCCACACGUCCUGCCGCGGGGCCUUCUGCAGGGAGGGCGGGCAGGGAGGCUGGUCAGCGUGGGCCCCUGUGCUCUGUCCCAGGCACAGCCCCCCACACCAGGCCUCUGGCGGGCACCCCUGUCCCCAGCACACACUCACCCCACCCUGGCUGGGACAAAGGGGAGUGGGUGCCAGGCUUGGAGGCCCAGCCCAGCCCUGUGGGAGCUCAUUGCUCUGGGGGCCUAAGUGGCACCUUUGCCCCAGCCGGAUAUCCGUCUACACAUGCUCAUUACUGCCCCUGGCCGCGCUGUCAUUAUGAGACCAGAGAAACCAGACUGCUGCCCUGGCCCUCGGCAGGGUGGCUCACAUCGGGGACAGUCCCCGGGAUCCAGCGUCUCCAGCCCAGGUGCAGCAUCUUGUGAUCUGCCUCUCCUCCCACACCUU